rnacentral:rRNA from 1 species
UACAGAGGUCUCAAGCGUUGUUCGGAUUCAUUGGGCGUAAAGGGUGCGUAGGUGGCGGGGUAAGUCAGGUGUGAAAUCUCGGGGCUCAACCCCGAAACUGCACUUGAUACUGCCUUGCUCGAGUACUGGAGAGGAGAUUGGAAUUUACGGUGUAGCAGUGAAAUGCGUAGAUAUCGUAAGGAAGACCAGUGGCGAAGGGCGAAUCUCUGGACAGUUACUGACACUGAGGCACGAAGGCCAGGGGAGCAAACGGG